AGAGUUUGAUCAUGGCUCAGAACGUACGCUGGCGGCACGCCUAAUACAUGCAAGUCGAACGAAGUAGCAAUACUUAGUGGCAGACGGGUGAGUAACAUGUAGGUAUCUACCCUUUGGCCUGGAAUAACACGAGGAAACUUGUGCUAAUACCGGAUAAGUCUUUACGGAGAAAGCUUUAUGCACCAUUGGAUGAGCCUGCACUUGAUUAGUUUGUUGGUGGGGUAAUGGCCUACCAAGACAAUGAUCAAUAGCUGAUUUGAGAGGAUGAUCAGCCACAUUGGGACUGAGACACGGCCCAAACUCCUACGGGAGGCAGCAGUAGGGAAUCUUGCACAAUGGGGGAAACCCUGAUGCAGCGAUGCCGCGUGAGUGAAGAAGGCCUUUGGGUUGUAAAGCUCUUUCGUCGGGGAAGAAAAUGACUGUACCCGAAUAAGAAGGUCCGGCUAACUUCGUGCCAGCAGCCGCGGUAAUACGAAGGGACCUAGCGUAGUUCGGAAUUACUGGGCUUAAAGAGUUCGUAGGUGGUUAAAAUAGUUGGUGGUGAAAUCCCAGAGCUUAACUCUGGAACUGCCAUCAAAACUUUUUAACUAGAGUAUGAUAGAGGUAAGCGGAAUUUCUAGUGUAGAGGUGAAAUUCGUAGAUAUUAGAAAGAACACCAAUUGCGAAGGCAGCUUUCUGGAUCAUUACUGACACUGAGGAGCGAAAGCAUGGGUAGCGAAGAGGAUUAGAUACCCUCGUAGUCCAUGCCGUAAACGAUGUGUGCUAGACGUUGGGAAUUUAUUUUUCAGUGUCGCAGCAAAAGCGUUAAGCACACCGCCUGGGGAGUACGACCGCAAGGUUAAAACUCAAAUGAAUUGACGGGGACCCGCACAAGUAGUGGAGCAUGUGGUUUAAUUCGAAGAUACGCGCAGAACCUUACCAACACUUGACAUGUUCGUCGCGACUCUAAGAGAUUAGAGUUUUCGGUUCGGCCGGACGAAACACAGGUGCUGCAUGGCUGUCGUCAGCUCGUGUCGUGAGAUGUUGGGUUAAGUCCCGCAACGAGCGCAACCCUUACUUUUAGUUGCCACCAUUUAGUUGAGCACUCUGAAAGAACUGCCAGUGAUAAGCUGGAGGAAGGUGGGGAUGACGUCAAGUCCUCAUGGCCCUUACGUGUUGGGCUACACACGUGCUACAAUGGCACUCACAAUAGGAAGCAAAGAGGCGACUCUAAGCAAAUCCUAAAAAAGUGCCUCAGUUCGGAUUGUACUCUGCAACUCGAGUACAUGAAGCUGGAAUUGCUAGUAAUCGCGGAUCAGCGCGCCGCGGUGAAUACGUUCCCGGGUCUUGUACACACCGCCCGUCACACCAUGGAAGUUGGUUCUACUUUAAGGCAAAGCAUAAAACCUUUGACUACGGUAUAGUCAGCGACUGGGGUGAAGUCGUAACAAGGUAGCC
rnacentral:rRNA from 1 species